UACAAUCCUGUACCCGAACCUUCAUCCAGUUUUUAAAAUCCGGGUUUCGGGCUGGUCUGGGUAAAACCCAGACUAGAUGAACAGUCAUAAAUCCCAUAAAAAAAAAACUCUAUUUACACACGGGGGUGGGGAACCUCCCGUGUACACAUACAGCCAUGUGUAAUAAUGAAAUGGGGCAUUUUAUUAUUACACAACCUAGUUGAAUGUAGCUGGGUUCAGUUCUCUCCUCAGUGCAAGCUUCCUGGGUUGAAGAGAGUGUGAAGACAACGCAGAGAAGAGAACCACAAAGACGACGUAGAGAAGAGAACCACGACGACUAACAGUACCUCUCUUCUUCCCAUUAUUUGCAUCUGAAACCUCAUCUUCUUUUUUUUUCUUUUUCUUUUUGCUUCUUCUCAUCUGCACCCAUUUUGCAUACCCACGGAACAAAUUAGGCUUCAAGAGCAAGCUUCCCCACAAACGACCACGAAGACGAAAGGACUCCCUCACUUUAGAAUAGUUUGGUUGGUGCUUGUUAUACGUGAAGCUAAAAUAAGACAUUCACACACACUACUCCGAGUGUAUUGGGCUUUUGCAUUUGUUGUAGCAUGUUAAUUGGUAGUCUGUAAGUGAUUUCAUAUUAGUGUUAGAAGUUAGUUGCUAUGUGUAUGUAACGUUGUUUAUAUGUUAGUUUUACCUUUCUACUAUGUAGAUUGCACCUGGUAACAGGACUAAAACCACAAAAUUCUACUAUGUUAGUUUUACCUUUCUAUAUGUUUAUGUGUAUGUAACGUUGUCAUAUGGAUGAACCCUGAGGGCAUUUGAAUCCAUUUAUGAAUUGUUUCAUGCUUUUGAUGUGUAA